rnacentral:tRNA from 1 species
CAGAGAAUAGUUUAUUUAAAAUAUUAAUUUUGGAGAUUAAUGAAAGGGGGUUCUCUUUCUCUGA